rnacentral:rRNA from 1 species
UACAGAGGUGGCAAGCGUUGUUCGGAAUUACUGGGCGUAAAGGGCGAGUAGGCGGCCAACUAAGUCAGACGUGAAAUCCCUCGGCUUAACCGGGGAACUGCGUCUGAUACUGGAUGGCUUGAGUUUGGGAGAGGGAUGCGGAAUUCCAGGUGUAGCGGUGAAAUGCGUAGAUAUCUGGAGGAACACCGGUGGCGAAGGCGGCAUCCUGGACCAACACUGACGCUGAGUGAGCGAAAGCCAGGGGAGCAAACGGGG